AUGCAAGUCGAACGGUGCAGCAAUGCAUAGUGGCGCAAGGGUGAGGAACGCGUGAGUAACCUGCCCUCAAGUUGGGAACAGCUUCUGGAAACGGAAAUUAAUACCGAAUGUGACCAUUGGAAGGCAUCUUCUGUUGGUUAAAGGCCGCAAGGUCGCUUGAGGAGGGGCUCGCGUCCCAUUAUGCUAGUUGGUGAGGUAAAGGCUCACCAAGGCGAAGAUGGGUAGCUGGUCUGAGAGGACGAUCAGCCACACUGGGACUGAGAACUGCCCAGACUCCUACGGGAGGCUGCAGUCGAGAAUUUUGGGCAAUGGACGAAAGUCUGACCCAAGCAAUGCCGCGUGCGGGAUGAAGGUCUUCGGAUUGUAAACCGCUGUCAAGUGGGACGAAACAAAUGACGGUACCGCUGAAGGAAGUCACGGCUAACUACGUGCCAGCCGCCGC
rnacentral:rRNA from 1 species